CCCAAUAAUCCACCGAAAUUUUCUAGGGUAAGCGUUUCUGUUUCUUCUGAUCUGAAACCCCGUCGUCCUAUUCUCAAACAAAGCAGAUCGAUGGCGCCUCCACCUGGUCCCUACUCCGGCAACCAGCACCCUCGCUCUUGUGGCUCGUGCAUCUGCUUUCUUUUUGGACUCGUUUAUGGUAGCUUCAAGCUCAAGUACCUCAAGGCUAAGGCAAGGUCUCAUAAGAAAGCUGAAGCAAAGGCUCACCACUGAAGCAUCGUAGUUGGUUUGAAUUGCAUGAAUUGAACUUGGUGUAGGAAUAAAGCAUAUAGAUGUUAUUGUACGAGUUUUUCAUUUCAGCUUAUAAAGCUUUUACGGAUAAUGACAUACUUAUCUCCCAAAUUUGUUUGUGUUAUAAACAUGGCCCUUAAGGUUAAUUUUUAGGUUGGCAAUGGCACUAUGAUGAUUUUGU